CACAGCACACAUAUAAACUUCUGAUCACUGUGACAGAAAACCUCGAGGAUCUUCUCAUGUUUCUGGCAGAUCAUCUCCUGCAGUCGUCCAGUGGCUUCAAUCAAACUGUGUCUCUUUCCUUUAAACCAACUCUCAUGUUGUUCAAGGUGAUUCUGACAGUAAGAGUUCAGACACACCAGACAGGACUUGACGGCUCUGUAUUUUCUUCCAGUACAGACGUCACACUCCACAUCUCCAGCUCCAGCAGGAACCACACUUUGAAGUUUAGUCUUCUUCAGUUUCUCCAUCAUUUCAGCAAACACCACGUUCUUAAAUAAAGCAGGUCUUGGGCUGAAGGUCUGUCUGCACUGAGGACAGCUGUAGACUCUCUUCUGAUCCUCUUCAUCCCAGCAGUCUGUAAUACAGCUCAUACAGUAACUGUGUCCACACUGGAUGGUCACUGGAUCCUUCAGGAGAUCCAGACACACCGGACACAAGAAUUCAUC